rnacentral:rRNA from 1 species
UUGUAGCCUGCUAUGGUAUAACUUAGUGGCAGACGGGUGAGUAAUAUAUAGGAAUCUACCUAGUAGUACGGAAUAAUUGUUGGAAACGGCAACUAAUACCGUAUACGCCCUACGGGGGAAAAAUUUAUUGCUAUUAGAUGAGCCUAUAUUAGAUUAGCUAGUUGGUGGAGUAAUAGCCUACCAAGGCAAUGAUCUAUAGCUGAUCUGAGAGGAUGAUCAGCCACACUGGAACUGAGAUACGGUCUAGACUCCUACGGGAGGCAGCAGUGGGGAAUAUUGGACAAUGGGCGAAAGCCUGAUCCAGCCAUGCCGCAUGAGUGAAGAAGGCCUUUGGGUUGUAAAGCUCUUUUAGUGAGGAAGAUAAUGACGGUACUCACAGAAGAAGUCCUGGCUAACUCCGUGCCAGCAGCCGCGGUAAUACGGAGAGGGCUAGCGUUAUUCGGAAUUAUUGGGCGUAAAGGGCGCGUAGGCUGGUUAGUAAGUUAAAAGUGAAAUCCCGAGGCUUAACCUUGGAACUGCUUUUAAAACUGCUAACCUAGAGAUUGAAAGAGGAUAGAGGAAUUCCUAGUGUAGAGGUGAAAUUCGUAAAUAUUAGGAGGAACACCAGUGGCGAAGGCGUCUAUCUGGUUCAAAUCUGACGCUGAGGCGCGAAGGCGUGGGGAGCAAACAGGAUUAGAUACCCUGGUAGUCCACGCUGUAAACGAUGAAUGUUAAAUAUGGGAAGUUUACUUUCUGUAUUACAGCUAACGCGUUAAACAUUCCGCCUGGGGACAACGGUCGCAAGAUUAAAACUCAAAGGAAUUGACGGGGACCCGCACAAGCGGUGGAGCAUGUGGUUUAAUUCGAUGCAACGCGAAAAACCUUACCACUCCUUGACAUGAAAAUCAUACCUAUUC